AUUCUGCCCAAGCGGGGAAGGAUGAGAAGCUUCGACCAAGGUUUGACUUGAGCGCCAGCGAGAGAGCGUUGCCGCAGGCAACGACCCGAAGGGC
rnacentral:sRNA from 1 species